CGGCGGACGGGUGAGUAACGCGUGGGUAACCUGCCUCAUACAGGGGGAGUAACAGUUGGAAACGGCUGCUAAUACCGCAUAAGCGCACAGUACCGCAUGGUACCGUGUGAAAAACUCCGGUGGUAUGAGAUGGACCCGCGUCUGAUUAGGUAGUUGGUGGGGUAACGGCCUACCAAGCCGACGAUCAGUAGCCGACCUGAGAGGAUGAACGGCCACAUUGGGACUGAGACACGGCCCAGACUCCUACGGGAGGCAGCAUG
rnacentral:rRNA from 1 species